GCCCUCUUUAAAACAUAAAAGGUGUUGCCUGCCCAAUGAUUAUUAAUCUGUAAAUAGAAACUAUUUAAACAAUAAUUUAAAGGACGCGGUAUCCUGACCGUGAUAAUGUAGCAUAAUCAUUCGCCAUUUAAUUGAUGGAUAGUAUGAAUGGCUAAACGAGUAUAACACUGUCUCUAAUAAAAUAUUAUAAAAUUGGAAUAUUAGUAAAGAUACUAAUUUAAACUGUAAGACGAAAAGACCCUAUAGAGCUUCACUAUUAUCCUUAUAAAAAGAACCUAAGUUUACUUAAAUAAACAUAAGGAAAGAUAGUUUGGUUGGGGCGACCGCUUUCUAAAAUCAACGAAAGUAAACAAAAUCAAUUAAAUGAUUUAUUGUAUAAUUUAUCAAUUUAACAAUUAUAAAAAUAGGUAAUAAUGACCCGUUUAUUAAAAUAACAAUUGUAAACGAUCAGUAAAUAAAAGCUACCUUAGGGAUAACAGGAUAAUUUUAUUUCAGAGCCCUUAUCUAAAAUAAAGUUUGUCACCUCUAUGUUGAAUUAAGAUAUCCCAAUGAUGUAGAAGUCAUUAAAGGUAGUCUGUUCGACCUUUAAAAU
rnacentral:rRNA from 1 species